rnacentral:rRNA from 1 species
UACAGAGGGGGCAAGCGUUGUUCGGAAUUACUGGGCGUAAAGGGCUCGUAGGCGGCCAACUAAGUCGGAUGUGAAAUCCCCAGGCUUAACCUGGGAACUGCAUCCGAUACUGGAUGGCUUGAAUCCGGGAGAGGGAUGCGGAAUUCCAGGUGUAGCGGUGAAAUGCGUAGAUAUCUGGAGGAAUACCGGUGGCGAAGGCGGCAUCCUGGACCGGCAUUGACGCUGAGGAGCGAAAGCCAGGGGAGCAAACGGG